GACGAACGCUGGCGGCGUGCCUAAUACAUGCAAGUCGAACGAGAGCGCCCGGUGCUUGCACUGGUCAAUCUAGUGGCGAACGGGUGAGUAACACGUGGGUAACCUGCUCAUCAGAGGGGUAUAACAUCCGGAAACGGAUGCUAAAACCGCAUAGGUCUUCGAGCCGCAUGGCUUGAAGAGGAAAAGAGGCGCAAGCUUCUGCUGAUGGAUGGACCCGCGGUGCAUUAGCUAGUUGGUGAGGUAACGGCUCACCAAGGCCGUGAUGCAUAGCCGACCUGAGAGGGUGAUCGGCCACAUUGGGACUGAGACACGGCCCAAACUCCUACGGGAGGCAGCAGUAGGGAAUCUUCCGCAAUGGACGCAAGUCUGACGGAGCAACGCCGCGUGAGUGAAGAAGGUUUUCGGAUCGUAAAACUCUGUUGUUAGAGAAGAACAAGUGCUAGAGUAACUGUUAGCGCCUUGACGGUAUCUAACCAGAAAGCCACGGCUAACUACGUG
rnacentral:rRNA from 1 species